UACGAGGGGGGCUAGCGUUAUCCGUCUUGAAUGGGCCUAAAGUGUCUGUAGGCUGCUUGUAAAGGUAAAAAGUAUUACAACUAGCAGCUAGAGUGGAAUUGGGGAAUCAGGGAACUCCAGGAGUAGGGAUAGAAUCCGGUGAUCCCGUGGAAGACCGCUAUGGCGAAGGCCCUAUUCUAAGUAACCGACUGAACCGCUGAGAGACUAGAGUGUGGGGAGCGAAGAGG
rnacentral:rRNA from 1 species